CGAGAAAAGGAGUGGAGAGGAAAGGAGUGAAGUCUGUGAGAUAGCCGUGCAGCCGACACAUACGGUAGUCGCAGAUCGGCGAGGCAGACAAGGGACUCGAGCAAGCAAAAUGGAGGGCAGGCGAGCGUGGAAUAUAAAAGGAGGAACGUGAAUUCAUAUCUCGUCCGGGGGAUCUCGCUGCUUUGCUGCUGAGAGACUGUUUUCGCGGGCUCGACAGAGAAAACGGAUGAACGACGAACAGAGAGAGAAAAAAAGAGAAAGAGAGAGAGAGAGAGAGAGAGAGAGAAAGAGUGAGACGACGAUGGAAAAAGACGGGUGGCAGGGUGAAAGAGAAAGAAGGAUUGAAGAGCCGCGAGGCAAGGAAAGACUGCGAGAAGGAGAAUGAGAGACUCGAGAACAGCCGACCGUGGUUGCUAUCGUAUCUGUCGCAAGUGCGACGACGACGUUCGAAUAUCCCGCCGAUAGAGAGACAGGGAAGGAACACAGGUUGCGGUACAAGCGAGACGGAAACAACAAUCUGUUGGCCAAGAGUGGGACAAGGACGGGAGAAGGCAGUCCGCGUGGAGUCCGCCGUGGAAACAGCUCGGGCGAGCCGACCAAUGAGCGCGCGGCAACGACCAAUCAGGCAGCGAGCUACGAAUCCGCGCUCGACUAUUACGUAGUCUCAUCUCUCACCCGGGCCAGUCGUUGCCGAACCACGUAAGGAGGUAGUCUCUUUUGUCUCGCGGAGCUGUGAAUACACGAUGCGUAUACACAAUGGUCCCUGCUAAGGAUACCGCCGUGUACUCUCCCCGUGUAGGCAGAAUCGAGAUCAGAACGUCGUGGCUACGACGGAGAAGCCGGUUAGGUAGAGGAGGCAUCCUCGUAAAAGCGAGCCAUUGGGUAUACCAAUCACGUGGCUCACAAAGCAAGCCUAACGAGCGUUUCUAAGAGCCUUCGUCGGAGAGAUGUUUUCUCAAGUGCUGCAGAACCGGUGGUUGCAACGUUAUCACUGUAAUGGACCGCUGGCCCACAAAAGUUUAACAUCAACAGAUACUGCUAAGAGAGGAAGAGAAGGAGAGAGAGAGAGAGAGAGAGAAGAAGAAAAAGGAAAACUUUCGUUUGCGAUUCACAAAGAUGACGACGGUCAUAAGAAUAUGGGCGUACUGACCGCAAACUAGAACCUGAGCACUCCAUUUGCGAAUAUUCCUCGGUUUCUUGAAAGUUUUUCGAAACGAGGACGAGUACAGUGGGACAAGACGUUGUUGCACUCCGAGACGUGUUCGUUCUUUGUCCUACAUUUGGCCCUCGAAUUUGAAACAUCGGAAGAAGAACGUUUAAGAAUACAAUUACAGGUGUGUAUACAUGGGGCAUGUAAUGAAAAUCACUGUGCUUUGCUGCGAAUAACCUCCAGCUCACUCGGCAGUAAAUAUUCAAAAAUAUUUGAACGUGGAAUUAUAUUGAUUUGCAGCUUGCCCGGAACAAUUUAAAUACGCAACAUUUUCAAAUUGAAUCUCGAAAUUUUUUGUCGCAAUUUAUUCUCUUUUGCCGGAUGGACUAACGAGGUUCAUUGGUGAAAAAUCAAUUUAAUGUCGCUGGGCUGACAUAUCUGUGUAUGUAUGUAUGUAUGUAUGUAUGCAUGUAUAUUGAAAAAGUUGUUACGAUUCUUUCAUAGGAAUUUUACGAGCCAUUAAAUUGCAUAACAUUCCGGCAACUACUUAAAAAGCUACCGCUUGCUCGUUAUUGCUGUUAUUUUGUGACAAUAAAAAUCUUUAUUAAAAA